rnacentral:ribozyme from 1 species
CAGCACGGUCGACGUCGACGACGUGGAGGAACAAGCCAGGGAUCCUCAAACAGGACGAGAAGACG